rnacentral:rRNA from 1 species
AGUGAACGCUGGCGGUAGGCCUAACACAUGCAAGUCGAACGGCAGCACAGUAAGAGCUUGCUCUUACGGGUGGCGAGUGGCGGACGGGUGAGGUAUACAUCGGAAUCUACUUUUUCGUGGGGGAUAACGUAGGGAAACUUACGCUAAUACCGCAUACGACCUACGGGUGAAAGCAGGGGAUCUUCGGACCUUGCGCGAUUGAAUGAGCCGAUGUCGGAUUAGCUAGUUGGCGGGGUAAAGGCCCACCAAGGCGACGAUCCGUAGCUGGUCUGAGAGGAUGAACAGCCGCACUGGAACUGAGACACGGUCCAGACUCCUACGGGAGGCAGCAGUGGGGAAUAUUGGACAAUGGGCGCAAGCCUGAUCCAGCCAUACCGCGUGGGUGAAGAAGGCCUUCGGGUUGUAAAGCCCUUUUGUUGGGAAAGAAAAGCAGCAGGUGAAUACCCCGCUGUUCUGACGGUACCCAAAGAAUAAGCACCGGCUAACUUCGUG